GGGGAUUUAGCUUAGUGGUAGAGCACUUGCCUAGUAAGCGCAAGGCCCUGGGUUCGGUCCCCAGCUCCG
rfam:Rattus norvegicus chromosome 5, whole genome shotgun sequence.